rnacentral:tRNA from 1 species
GGGUUCUUAGCUCAGUGGUGGAGCAUUUGACUGCAGAUCAAGAGGUCACUAGUUCGAAUUUGGUAGAGCUCU